rnacentral:rRNA from 1 species
UUCCAGACUCCUACGGGAGGCAGCAGUGGGGAAUAUUGCACAAUGGGGGAAACCCUGAUGCAGCGACGCCGCGUGAGUGAAGAAGUAAUUCGUUAUGUAAAGCUCUAUCAGCAGGGAAGAAAAUGACGGUACCUGAGUAAGAAGCCCCGGCUAACUACGUGCCAGCAGCCGCGGCAAUACGUAGGGGGCAAGCGUUAUCCGGAUUUACUGGGUGUAAAGGGAGCGUAGACGGCGAUGCAAGCCAGAUGUGAAAGCCCGGGGCUCAACCCCGGGACUGCAUUUGGAACUGUGUGGCUGGAGUGUCGGAGAGGCAGGCGGAAUUCCUAGUGUAGCGGUGAAAUGCGUAGAUAUUAGGAGGAACACCAGUGGCGAAGGCGGCCUGCUGGACGACAACUGACGGUGAGGCGCGAAAGCGUGGGGAGCAAACAGGAUUAGAUACCCUGGUAAAA